AGCGAACCUAGGGAACUGAAACAUCUAAGUACCUAGAGGAAAAGAUAUUCCGUUAGUAGUGGCGAGCGAAAGCGGAUCAGGCCAGUGCUACUUUUUACUAAACCAGAACUGCAUGGAAAGGCAGGCCAUAGUGAGUGAUAGCCUCGUAUGGGUAGAUAGUAAAAAAUAGACAUGAGUAGGGCGGGACACGUGAAAUCCUGUCUGAAUAUAGGAAGACCACUUCCUAAGCCUAAAUACUACUUUGUGACCGAUAGUGAACCAGUACCGUGAGGGAAAGGCGAAAAGAACCCCUAGCAGGGGAGUGAAAUAGACCCUGAAACCGGAUGCUUACAAGCAGUUGGAGCCUCUUUAUGAGGUGACAGCGUACCUUUUGUAUAAUGGGUCAGCGACUUAAUAUCAAUAGCAAGCUUAAGGCAUAUAGCUGUAGGCGAAGCGAAAGCGAGUCUGAAUAGGGCGAUUUA
rnacentral:rRNA from 1 species